GAUGAACGCUGGCGGCGUGCCUAAUACAUGCAAGUCGAGCGAACGGACGAGAAUCUUGCUUCUCUGAUGUUAGCGGCGGACGGGUGAGUAACACGUGGAUAACCUACCUAUAAGACUGGGAUAACUUCGGGAAACCGGAGCUAAUACCGGAUAAUAUUUUGAACCGCAUGGUUCAAAAGUGAAAGACGGUCUUGCUGUCACUUAUAGAUGGAUCCGCGCUGCAUUAGCUAGUUGGUAAGGUAACGGCUUACCAAGGCAACGAUGCAUAGCCGACCUGAGAGGGUGAUCGGCCACACUGGAACUGAGACACGGUCCAGACUCCUACGGGAGGCAGCAGUAGGGAAUCUUCCGCAAUGGGCGAAAGCCUGACGGAGCAACGCCGCGUGAGUGAUGAAGGUCUUCGGAUCGUAAAACUCUGUUAUUAGGGAAGAACAUAUGUGUAAGUAACUGUGCACAUCUUGACGGUACCUACUCAGAAAGCCACGGCUAACUACGUG
rnacentral:rRNA from 1 species